rnacentral:rRNA from 1 species
UACGUAGGCAGCAAGCGUUGUUCGGAGUUACUGGGCGUAAAGGGUGUGUAGGCGGUUCUUUAAGUUUGGUGUGAAAUCUCCCGGCUUAACCGGGAGGGUGCGCCGAAUACUGAGGGACUAGAGUACGGGAGAGGAAAGUGGAAUUCCUGGUGUAGCGGUGAAAUGCGUAGAUAUCAGGAGGAACACCGGUGGUGUAGACGGCUUUCUGGACCGUAACUGACGCUGAGACACGAAAGCGUGGGGAGCAAACAGG